rnacentral:rRNA from 1 species
AUUGAACGCUGGCGGCAGGCCUAACACAUGCAAGUCGAGCGGAUGAAGGGAGCUUGCUCCUGGAUUCAGCGGCGGACGGGUGAGUAAUGCCUAGGAAUCUGCCUUGUAGUGGGGGAUAACGUCCGAAAACGGGCGCUAAUACCGCAUACGUCCUGAUGUAGAAAGUGGGGGAUCUUCGGACCUCACGCUUCCUGAUGAGCCUAGGUCGGAUUAGCUAGUUGGUGGGGUAAAGGCCUACCAAGGCGACGAUCCGUAACUGGUCUGAGAGGAUGAUCAGUCACACUGGAACUGAGACACGGUCCAGACUCCUACGGGAGGCAGCAGUGGGGAAUAUUGGACAAUGGGCGAAAGCCUGAUCCAGCCAUGCCGCGUGUGUGAAGAAGGUCUUCGGAUUGUAAAGCACUUUAAGUUGGGAGGAAGGGAAGUAAGUUAAUACCUUGCUGUUUUGACGGUACCAACAGAAUAAGCACCGGCUAACUUCGUG